rnacentral:piRNA from 1 species
UCAUGUGGGGCUCCAAAGCUGGUGU